rnacentral:rRNA from 1 species
UACAGAGGUCUCGAGCGUUAGGCGGAAUCACUGGGCUUAAAGCGUGUGUAGGCGGAUCGGUAAGUACCUUGUGAAAUCCCACAGCUUAACUGUGGAACUGCUUGGUAUACUGCCAGUCUUGAGCCAGCUAGGGGCUACCGGAACAAAUGGUGGAGCGGUGAAAUGCGUAGAUAUCAUUUGGAACGCCAAUGGUGAAAACAGGUAGCUGGGGCUGUGCUGACGCUGAGACGCGAAAGCCAGGGGAGCGAACGGG